CAGAUUAUUGGAGCAGAAAUGGUUGAAUCGGCGGUAACUGCAACCCUGCACUAUCAAAUAGUGUAUAAGGUCUAAGAUCAUGCCUUUAAGCUGACAAAUCAAGGAUCUGAAGAUUCUCUUUUGAUAUCUGUAAACACAAAAGAAGAGCCCCAUUGUAUUCAUGUGCCUAAACAGAUACCUAAACAAGAGCUUUUACAACUUUUACCAGAAAAAUGGGUGACCAACUACGAGCAGAUCCAUCAACAUAGCCAGCCGAUUAAAUCCACCAGAAGUCAAAUCACAACAAAAGCUGAUGGGACUAGUGAAAUCCGAUUUGAUCACAGUCACCUAAAACAGCUUUCAACACCUCCUGUCUUUACUACUCAGAUGAUGUUCCAGCCAUUAUCUACAGAAGAAGUAGUACCAGGACCAGAGGCAAAGUUAAUCCAGAGUUUUCAACCAGAAGGAAAGCCUUUGUAUUAUUUCAAAGAUCCUUCAGGACAUUGUCCGUGGGAUAUCAACUGUUCAUGUGAAGGGUGCAGAAAUGAUGUUUUUGAAGAACUCGAUGAAGACAUCAAACGCACCAGGAAGAAAAAAUCCAGCAAAAAAUCAACACAAUCAGAUUUUUAUGAGAGAUGGAUAAAUGGAGAUCCAGAUAUCGGCCCAUUAGGAAAAGAUAACGGCAAAUUCGUAUAUCUUGUGGACUAUUCUGCAGAAAAGCCACAAUCUCCUAAGAUCCAAGAUCUACCACAAAAUUCCUCUCCAUCAUCUUCUCCAAAAACAGACGCUGACCAGAAAUGGCUAGCUAAGCCCUUGAAGCAGCCAUGUUACAAAAAAAUAAUAAAUGGGUCCAGAAAAAUGAUCAGUUCAUGACUUGUAACCAGGAACACAAGUUGAAGAUUCCAACUCCUGUUCAAUCAAUUCCACAAGUUCAGAUGUACGCAGCGACUUCCUCUUAUGAUCAAGAUUUUUCGCCGCUUGAAGAAUUCACAAAAAAUGAACAUCUCCAUGCGCCUAAAAUCUCUUCAAAACUCCAAGUUGAUGCAGAAGGAAGGCAAGUUAAAAUUGCAGCAGCAGAAGCCACUUUAAAUUGGCAGACAGAAAAUGCUGUAGCCCAGAAUGCUGCAAUUAAGAAGAUUGAUCAUAAAGUGAGUCAGAUUGAUAAUAAGGUUUCAAAGAUCGAAAGAACAACAGAUGAAAACUCUGAGAUGAUCAAAAACCUUAUUAAGAUCUUCCAGAAAAUACUCAAAGAAGUUGCUCAUGAGCCAGCUGCCCCAUGACAAGAUUUCCUUUCCCAUAUUGCUCAAAGAGAAAAAGAAAUCCAAAACCUCAAAGAACAGAUAAAAUAUCUGAAAGAAAAUGGGAAGCUGCCACUACCACAACCAGCCAGAAAUGGAAUUGAGCUUUUCCCGUCAGUCAGACAGACAGAAGGUCCUCGACAUUUUGGUACUCAAUCACUUAUCUUUCCCCCGCCUGAGCCAAAGAAAAAAGCUACAAUUAGUGAAUUAUUGCAGCAGAUCAAAGCUCAGAAAGCAAAAGAAAAGAAAGAAGCUGAAGAAGAAAAAAGAAAGAAAGAAAAGGCUCGAGGUAAGAGACCAGUAGAAAAGCCAUAUGAUGAUGAAGAAAGCCAAUCCUCUUCACCACCAACAUCUCCGCCAUCAAAACAGAUAUCUAAGUCUUUGAUGAUGCAAAAUAACACAUGUCCUACUAAUCCUUUAUCAAGAAUUUUAAGGGAUUAUAGCCAUGAUAUUUUGCCAAAGAUAUCUGUUGCUCAAAAGGAAUCAGAAAUUACCCUAGUUCCAGAUUUUGAACCUGUCCCAAAUGAAGAAGAUUCAGUAUCCUUCUCAGGAACUGAUGAAUCAGAAUCUAUUGAAACACAAUCCAAUCCUUUUUCGCAAGAGGAAAUUGAUGACAAUCAAUCAGAUCUGCCAGAAGUAAUGGCCACUCCAGGAGUAAAAGUAGAAGAACCAUCAGAUGAAGAUAUGACUGAAGCAGAACCAUCAAAUUUCAGAACAACUCUACAUGUCUCUACAACAAAGAUGGUCUUCACUUUAGAUGAUAUCAAAAUGGCCAGCGAGAUUACAAGAAUUCCACUCAUGGCUUGAUACCAGGAAGGUUACAGAAGAGAGUCAUUACAACAUCCUGUCUGAAUUUGUUUCAAAAUUCACAGGGAUGUUAAAAGAUUGGUGGAAUUCAGUUACUCAAGCAGAUCAAUUGCAGUUUCUGGUAUUAACAGACUUCUCACAGAGGAUUAUCCAUAGUUACUUUAUAGGUAAUCCUGAAGAUCUGUUAACUUUGAAGAGAAGGGAGUCUUUCAAAAGAAAAUGCUGCUCUUAUCAGAAGAAAGAUUUAUCAAAACAUUUUUAUGUUAUGAUGAAGCUUUUUUAUGCUCUUGGAUCAGAACCAAGCCUGAAGCAAGCAGUUGUUGCAUCCCUUCCAGAUCCUAUUCAAGUCGCAAUUAAUCAGAAUCUUUAUAGGCAAAACAAAAAAUCCUCAAUCUAACUAUGGGAGAAAUUCAGCAAGAGACUUUUAUUGCUCUUGAAGAUAUCUGCAACAGAAGAAAAGUCUUUAAAGAUUAUCUCCAUGGAGACAAGAGGAUAGACAAAGCCUGCACUGAUUCACAUUUGAAAAUUAAAUGCGGCAAAGAGGAUAAAUCAUGUUAUUGUCCAACAAAGAAAAAGAAGCACUUCAAAAAGAAGAAAGAGCCAGAAGGAUGAGACCUAAGAAGAAAUUCAGAUGGAGAUAUCUCAAGAAAAAGAAAAGAUUUUCUAAGAAGGGCAAAUCCACAAGAUGCUACAUCUGCAACAAAAAAGGUCACUUUGCAAAAGAUUGUCCAAAGAACAAGAAAAGAGCAAAGAUGAUCAGACAGAUCCAACAAAGAUCAGGAGUUAAGAUAACAGAUGAAGAUGACAUAGAGUCCUUAUUCUCUAUUGAUGAUGAGCCUAAUGAUCAAUCAAUAUGUGCUAUUCAAAGCUUUGUAUCCAAGGAUUCAGAAGACUCAGAAUUCUCUUUAUCAGAAUCAUCAUUGAUGAUACAGCCUCAGAAAAAUUACUGUUCUCUCUCUAUUCUUUCUCAAGAAGCAUCCAUGGAAGCCACAGCGCCUUACAUUCCAGUUUUUAUCUGUACAAGUAAAUACAGUAAACCUGUUACUGUAAUUGCUUUUAUUGACACUGGAGCGGCAGAAUCCAUCAUGAAUCCAGAAAUUUUGCCAAGAGAACAUUGGGAGCCCCAUACCAGAUAUUUCAGCAUCAGGAAAAGUCUUUUCAACAGACUUAAGAAGUAAGCCCAUCAAGAUCCAGUUUUUCCCAACAUGUUCCAUUAUCACUACAGUCUUGGGAUCAAAACUUCCGGGAAAAGAUCUUAUUGCUGGUUUUGAUUUAUAUCUUAAAGCCAAACAAUUAAGAAUUCUUCCAGAUGGAAUAAGGUAUAAACAAAUGUUUAAACCUUAUGUUCCAAUUCCCAGAUUAUUUACUAUUGAUGCUGACAAGAUUCAAGAAGUUGUUGAAGAAUUAAAGCAAAGAACGUGUGCAGAAUCUCAUUCAGAUUUCCUGAAGAAAUGCAAUCAUCCUUUAUGGAAAAAUUCAACAUUCUUCAUCAAACUUCCCUUCAAAAAGAAUGAAGAUAUCAAUCCUGCAAAAGCCAAUCACAUCGGGAUGAAUCCAGACCAUCUCAAAUUAGCUGAACAAGAAUGCCAACAACUACAGACAGAAGGAUUGAUAGAAGUUUCAGAUUCACAAUGGGCAUGUGAAGCGUUCUAUGUCAACAAAAGAUCUGAGCAAGCUCGUGGAAAACUUAGACUGGUAAUCAAUUAUCAGCCUCUCAAUCAUUUUCUCCAAGAUAACAAAUUUCCUUUACCCAACAGAAAUUGCCUAUUCUCUAGUCUUGCGAAAGCCCAGGUGUUUUCAAAGUUUGAUCUUAAAGCAGGAUUUUGGCAAUUGGGUAUAGAACCUGAAGACAGGCCCAAGACAGGUUUCUGUAUACCAAACAAACAUUUCCAAUGGACUGUGAUGCCCUUUGGACUCAAAACAGCCCCUUCAAAGUUUCAAAAAGCCAUGAUCAAAAUUUUCCAACCUAUCAUGGAUCAGGCCCUAAUUUACAUUGAUGACAUCCUCAUCUACAGCCCUAAUGAAUAGGAUCAUGCACUUCUCCUCAACAAAUUCAAGCAGAUUAUUCUUGAUUUUGGAAUAAUGCUUUCUGAAAGGAAGAUGCAAAUCAAUAAGCAAGAGAUAGAAUUUCUCGGGAUGAUCAACAAAAAUGGAAGGUACCAGCCAUGUCCAAAUAUUGCAGAAGAACUGAAGAAAUUUCCUGAUACAAAUCUCUCUCAUUAGCAAGUUCCACAAUUUCUUGGGAUAGUUAAUUAUCUCAGGGAUUUUGUUCCCAAGAUAGCCAAAUUAACAAAUCCUCUGAGAAAAAUGCUCAAAAAAGAUCCACCUCCUUGGAAAUCCAAACAGACAAAAGCUGUUCAGCAGAUCAAUGAGAAAACAAGCCAUUUACCACCAUUACAGAUCCCAUCUGCAGAGAAAAGAAUUUUGCAAACUGAUGCAAGUGACAAGUAUUGGGGAGCCAUUCUCUUUUAAGAAAAACAUGGAAAGAGACAACUAUGUGGAUAUAAAAGUGGAAGAUUCACAGAUGCAGAAAUCCAUUAUCACUCACUUUCAAGGAAAUCCUUGCUGUGAAAUACGGAAUUACUAAAUUCCAAUUUCAUCUGACAGGAUAUCAUUUUCUUGUUGAAAUGGACAUGUCAUCCUUUCCAAAGAUGUUAAAGUUUAAACAGAAAGAAGUUCCUCAUUCCCAGCUUCUCAGGUGGGCGGAAUGGUUUUCCAGAUUCUAUUUUGAUGUUAUUCACAUUAAAGGGAAAAACAAUGUUCUUGCAGAUAUUCUCACCAGGUUACCCGAAACCACUGAAAAACCCACUCAAAUCCAAACCUCAAAUCCUAUUGAAGUUUUCAUGUUUCAACCCUCUCCUUCCUCAAAAGGAAAAAAGAAACAAAUCCAACAACCACAUUCACCUUUUUCCCUUCCCUGUAAACCAAAUUCCCAUCCAGACCACCCUCCGGAAGUCUUAAGUCUAAUCCUAGAGAAAAAAUUCCAUAAAGAAGCCAUGAACAUGAUGUUAUCAUAUCAAUUAGAUGUCUUUAGAAAUUUUGGAGGAUUAUUUCUUAAACCUUUAGGACUUCAUCCUGAUUACCCAUUUAUAAACCCUAUCAAGUUCUAAUUUGGUGAGUUUCCUGAAGAAUUGAAAUGGAUGUUUUGGUAUUUAACACAUCUCUUUCACAUAGGGAUAGAGUUCUUUAUGCCUGACCUCCAACAUUUCUUAACCAUGGCUGUCCGCAAUGAAGAAACUCCUGAGAUGAAAAACCUAGCCACAUUUUUAAAAUGGUUCUAUCCUUUAGAAUAUUGGGUAGAUAUGCUCAUGUUUGAAUUCUACAAAAAUACCAGUGUCAAAUGGAUAGUAAUCAUCUUCUGUAAACCUCAAUACUUCAUGCAAAAUGGAUCAGCGACACAGUUAGCCUCUCUUCCUAGUUCCUGGAUCCAUAAUACAUAUUUUGAAGAGGUUUAUGAGAAUCUUUUUGAUCUCAAGAAAAUUCAGAAAUAUUUGUGCCAGAUUAAUAAGAUAAUUCCCUCGGAGAUAUGGCCUUCAGGAGAAGCAUCAUGGGAUGUUCAAAGGAAUCCACCGACAUCCUAUCAAAACCAGCUGAAAGAAGCCCUGAAUGAGUAUUGGUCCAACAUACCAGAUCCAAAAGAAUGGUCUCAAGAUUAUCCUAUGCAUUGCAGCCAGAUAAUUCAAGACACGCAUGUCUGGAAGAAUGAAGAAGGACCAAGUAUUUCACAAGAUGCACUUUCCAGAAGCAAUAAUGAUGAUGUGAUACCACCAGAUGACCUGGAAAGAAUGAUUGAAAAGCUGGAGCUUAGGUGUUACAGAGCCCGUGAAAAGAAAAGACAGAAAGUGGAAGAACUCAACAUCACCUCUGAUAUUGAUACAGACUAUGAUACGGAUACAGAUGUAUUAAUAAUAGAUAGGUUAAUGUAAAAGCAGAUUCCUCCUUAUCUGCUUAUGUCAUUUAUGUAUGAGUCAUGUAAAAGCAGAUUCCUCCUUAUCUGCUUAUGUCCUUUAUGUAUGAGUCAUGUCCUUUGUGUCUGAAAAAGCAGAUUCCUUAUCUGCUUAUCUUAAUUCUCCUCUAUAUAAGAAUGGAGAAGAGUCAGUUGUAAAAUAAGAGUAACAUUUGAAAUAAAACCCAGACGAGUUUUAAAAUCUAUGGCUUUCUAAAUCCCUCUCAUCUCUUCUUACUUGAAAAUAGGAUUUCUAUGGAAGAAAAUCUCUCAUAAGUUUAAGAGUAUGCUCUGUGCUUGCCAUACUUAUGGAUCCUGCACAUCAGAAAUUAAACCUGAUAGAAGAUACUAUUAGGUUCAGAUGAGUUUGAAGAAGGAGUUCAGUGAUUAAAGAAUUUUAACAGCUAAAAGGCAGUGCCUUGUUAAUAUGAGAAAAGCUGGAGCUUAGGUGUUACAGAGCCCGUGAAAAGAAAAGACAGAAAGUGGAAGAACUCAACAUCACCUCUAAUAUUGAUACAGACUAUGAUACGGAUACAGAUGUAUCAAUAAUAGAUAGGUUAAUGUAAAAGCAGAUUCCUCCUUAUCUGCUUAUGUCCUUUAUGUAUGAGUCAUGUAAAAGUAGAUUCAUCCUUAUCUGCUUAUGUCCUUUAUGUAUGAGUCAUGUCAUUUGUGUCUGAAAAAACAGAUUCCUUCUUAUCUGCUUAUCUUAAUUCUCCUCUAUAUAAGAAUGGAGAAGAGUCAGUUGUAAAAUAAGAGUAACCUUUGAAAUAAAACCCAGACGAGUUUUAAAAUCUAUGGCUUUCUAAAUCCCUCUCAUCUCUUCCUACUUGAAAAUAAGAUUUCUAUGGAAGAAAUCUAUCAUAAGUUUAAGAGUAUGCUCUGUGCUUGCCAUACUUAUGGAUCCUGCACAUCAAAAAUUAAACCUGAUAGAAGAUACUAUUAGGUUCAGAUGAGUUUGAAGAAGGAGUUCAGUGAUUAAAGAAUUUUAACAGCUAAAAGGCAGUACAUUGUUGAUGGCCAAAGGAAGAGAAAAGGCCUGUGUUUUUGCAUAGCAUACCUGCUGUUAAGAAUCGUUAAUUGCUGAUCUCAUGCUUCUUACUCACCUGCCCCCUCUUGGUAUCAGAGCCAGAAAAAGUUCAGAUUUUCUUUCAUCAGAAAGACUACGAUCAAGUAAGAUGAGAGUUUGGAAUUAUGGAAUCUCCUAGGUUAUCUACUACAAAAGCCUCACUUUCAUUACCAGAAUCCCCUUUCCUUUCUCAUUCUGCUGGAAAAAUCUCCUCCCUUUAUGAAGUUGAAUAUUUCACAGAGGAAGAAAAAAACCAGGCUACUAAUCUUCCUUUAAUAAACCCAUACUCCGCUUACCAAAAACCCUCUUUUUCUCCUGUAAAAAGUAUAAAGUCCCUUAUAACUACCAGAAGAAUAAAUGUUAAAGAAUAUGUCCAGUCCUCUAAAUUUGACAAACAUCUUAUCUAUGGAGGCCAAGAAGAACAAUUUGUCACUUUAGAGAUCCCCUCUCAUUUUCCACAAGAAUGGAGUCAACAUGGAUAUUCUCAUAUCCAUUUUGGAGCAGUCCGAUUGGCGUUAAAUUAUCACGGAACUUCAUGGAAACCGGUAGUAUCCAGAAUUGCUUUGUUAGAUUCCAGAUACAAACGCUACCAGGAUGCCUGUAUUGGAACGGUAGAAGCAACUUUAAGCUCGGGAAUGGGCAUGGUAACUCUGUUCCCCAACUUUACCAUGUCCCUACAAGAUUCCAAUUUGCUUGAUGCUCUCAAGGUCCAGAUCCAGAUUAUUGGAGCAGAAAUGGUUGAAUCGGCGGUAACUGCAACCCUGCACUAUCAAAUAGUGUAUAGGGUCCAAGAUCAUGCCUUCAAGCUGACAAGUCAAGGAUCUAAAGAUUCUUUUUUGAUCUCUGUAAACACAAAAGAAGUGCCCCAUUGUAUUCAUGUGCCUAAACACAUACCUAAACAAGAGCUUUUAAAGCUUUUACCAGAAAAAUGAGUGACCAACUACGAGCAGAUCCACCAACAUAGCCAGCCGAUUAAAUCCACCAGAAGUCAAAUCACAACAAAAGCUGAUGGGACUAGUGAAAUCCAAUUUGAUCACAGUCACCUAAAACAGCUUUCAACACCUCCUGUCUUUAUUACUCAGAUGAUGUUCCAGCCAUUAUCUACAGAAGAAGUAGUACCAGGACCAGAGGCAAAGUUAAUCCAGAGUUUUCAACCAGAAGGAAAGCCUUUGUAUUAUUUCAAAGAUCCUUCAGGACAUUGUCCGUGGGAUAUCAACUGUUCAUGUGAAGGGUACAGAAAUGAUGUUUUUGAAGAACUUGAUGAAGACAUCAAACGCACCAGGAAGAAAAAAUUCAGCAAAAAAUCAACACAAUCAGAUUUUUAUGAGAGAUGGAUAAAUGGAGAUCCAGAUAUCGGCCCCUUAGGAGAAGAUAACGUCAAAUUCGUAUAUCUUGUGGACUAUUCUGCAGGAAAGCCACAAUCUCUUAAGAUCCAAGAUCUACCACAAAAUUCCUCUCCAUCAUCUUCUCCAAAAACAGACGCUGACCAGAAAUGGCUAGCUAAGCCCUUGAAGCAGCCAUGUUACAAAAAAAUAAUAAAUGGGUCCAGAAAAAUGAUCAGUUCAUGACUUGUAACCAAGAACACAAGUUGAAGAUUCCAACUCCUGUUCAAUCAAUUCCACAAGUUCAGAUGUACGCAGCGACUUCCUCUUAUGAUCAAGAUUUUCCGCCGCUUGAAGAAUUCACAAAAAAUGAACAUCUCCAUGCGCCCAAAAUCUCUUCGAAACUCCAAGUUGAUGCAGAAGGAAGGCAAGUUAAAAUUGCAGCAGCAGAAGCCACUUUAAAUUGGCAGACAGAAAAUGCUGUAACCCAGAAUGCUGCAAUUAAGAAGAUUGAUCAUAAAGUGAGUCAGAUUGAUAAUAAGGUUUCAAAGAUCGAAAGAACAACAGAUGAAAACUCUGAGAUGAUCAAAAACCUUAUUAAGAUCUUCCAGAAAAUACUCAAAGAAGUUGCUCAUGAGCCAGCUGCCCCAUGACAAGAUUUCUUUUCCCAUAUUGCUCAAAGAGAAAAAGAAAUCCAAAACCUCAAAGAACAGAUAAAAUAUCUGAAAGAAAAUGGGAAGCUGCCACCACCACAACCAGCCAGAAACGGAAUUGAGCUUUUCCCGUCAGUCAGACAGACAGAAGGUCCUCGACAUUUUGGUACUCAAUCACUUAUCUUUCCCCCGCCUGAGCCAAAGAAAAAAGCUACAAUUAGUGAAUUAUUGCAGCAGAUCAAAGCUCAAAAAGCAAAAGAAAAGAAAGAAGCUGAAGAAGAAAAAAGAAAGAAAGAAAAGGCUCGAGGUAAGAGACCAGUAGAAAAGCCAGAUGAUGAUAAUGAAGAAAGCCAAUUCUCUUCACCACCACCAUCUCCGCCAUCAAAACAGAUAUCUAAGUCUUUGAUGAUGCAAAAUAACACAUGUCCUACUAAUCCUUUAUCAAGAAUUUUAAGGGAUUAUAGCCAUGAUAUUUUGCCAAAGAUAUCUAUUGCUCAAAAGGAAUCAGAAAUGACCCCAGUUCCAGAUUUUGAACCUGUCCCAAAUGAAGAAGAUUCAGUAUCCUUCUCAGGAACUGAUGAAUCAGAAUCUAUUGAAACACAAUCCAAUCCUUUUUCGCAAGAGGAAAUUGAUGACAAUCAAUCAGAUCUGCCAGAAGUAAUGGCCACUCCAGGAGUAAAAGUAGAAGAACCAUCAGAUGAAGAUAUGACUGAAGCAGAACCAUCAAAUGUCAGAACAACUCCACAUGUCUCUACAACAAAGAUGGUCUUCACUUUAGAUGAUAUCAAAAUGGCCAGCGAGAUUACAAGAAUUCCACUCAUGGCUUGAUACCAGGAAGCUUACAGAAGAGAGUCAUUACAACAUCCUGUCUGAAUUUGUUUCAAGAUUCACAGGAAUGUUAAAAGAUUGGUGGAAUUCAGUUACUCAAGCAGAUCAAUUGCAGUUUCUGGUAUUAACAGACUUCUCACAGAACAUAAGG
rnacentral:lncRNA from 1 species